GUGCUCGCUUCGGCAGUACAUAUACUAAAAUUGGAAUGAUACAGAGAUUAGCAUGGCCCCUGCACAAAGAUGACAUGCAAAUUCAUAAAGCAUCCCAUAUUUAA
ensembl:snRNA U6 U6 spliceosomal RNA